CCUACGGGCGGCAGCAGUAGGGAAUAUUGCUCAAUGGGGGCAACUCUGAAGCAGCAACGCCGCGUGGAGGAUGACGGUUUUCGGAUUGUAAACUUCUUUUGUUAGAGAAGAUAAUGACGGUAUCUAACGAUUAUGCCCCGGCUAACUUCGUGCCAGCAGCCGCGGUAAUACGGAGGGUGCCAGCGUUAUUCGGAAUCACUGGGCGUAAAGAGCGCGUAGGCGGGAUAGCAAGUCAGAUGUGAAAUCCUAUGGCUUAACCAUAGAACUGCAGUUGAAACUGUGAUGCUAGAGUCUGGGAGAGGUAGGUGGAAUUCUUGGUGUAGGGGUAAAAUCCGUAGAGAUCAAGAGGAAUACUCAUUGCGAAGGCGACCUGCUGGAACAUAACUGACGCUGAUGCGCGAAGGCGUGGGGAGCAAACAGGAUUAGAUACCCCAGUAGUC
rnacentral:rRNA from 1 species